GCACCCUUAGCUCAGUAGGAUAGAGCAAUAGCCUUCUAAGCUAUAGGUCACAGGUUCGAAUCCUGUAGGGUGUA
rnacentral:tRNA from 1 species